UGGCGGACGGGUGAGUAACGCGUAAAGAACUUGCCCUUUAGACUGGGAUAACAGAGGGAAACUUCUGAUAAUACUGAAUAAGUUAGUAUAUCGCAUGAUAUGCAAAUGAAAGCUACGGCACUAAAGGAGAGCUUUGCGUCCUAUUAGCUAGUUGGUAAGGUAAGAGCUUACCAAGGCGAUGAUAGGUAGCCGGCCUGAGAGGGUGGACGGCCACAAGGGGACUGAGAUACGGCCCUUACUCCUACGGGAGGCAGCAGAG
rnacentral:rRNA from 1 species